CAAUAUACUCGAUCACACAGCUUGAUACCAAGCACUGGAUGUGGUCGAGUAUCAGGUCGAGUAAUUUAACAGAAACUGUAAACAAGGUACUCGACUGCACAGUUUGUUACCUAAACUACUGGGUGUGGUCGAGUACUUCAAAUAAAACAGGGUAGAAAUGAUAAAACUGAGCAACAAGUAACAAGAUCAAGCAAUCAAUAGCGAUGUAAACAAGGAAAUCAAAUGGAAGAGAAAUUCCCGAGGAUGGGGUGAUCGAGUAGUGAUGUCUCCUUAAUCUAACAGGUGGUUAACAUGCUCAACAAACUAUCCCUAGACAACAAGUUCAAUAGCCAAAUCAAAGUGCUACCGCAACAGAGAUUCUC
rnacentral:lncRNA from 1 species